AAAUUGAAGAGUUUGAUCAUGGCUCAGAUUGAACGCUGGCGGCAGGCCUAACACAUGCAAGUCGAGCGGUAGCACAGAGAGCUUGCUCUCGGGUGACGAGCGGCGGACGGGUGAGUAAUGUCUGGGAAACUGCCUGAUGGAGGGGGAUAACUACUGGAAACGGUAGCUAAUACCGCAUAAUGUCGCAAGACCAAAGUGGGGGGCCUUCGGGCCUCAUGCCAUCAGAUGUGCCCAGAUGGGAUUAGCUAGUAGGUGGGGUAACGGCUCACCUAGGC
rnacentral:rRNA from 1 species